UACGGAGGAUCCAAGCGUUAUCCGGAAUCAUUGGGUUUAAAGGGUCCGUAGGCGGUUUAAUAAGUCAGUGGUGAAAGCCCAUCGCUCAACGAUGGAACGGCCAUUGAUACUGUUAAACUUGAAUUAUUAGGAAGUAACUAGAAUAUGUAGUGUAGCGGUGAAAUGCUUAGAGAUUACAUGGAAUACCAAUUGCGAAGGCAGGUUACUACUAAUAUAUUGACGCUGAUGGACGAAAGCGUGGGGAGCGAACAGG
rnacentral:rRNA from 1 species